UCGGGAAUUUUGGGCAAUGGGCGAAAGCCUGACCCAGCAACGCCGCGUGAGGGAUGAAGUAUUUCGGUAUGUAAACCUCGAAAGAAUGGGAAGAAUAAAUGACGGUACCAUUUAUAAGCUCCGGCUAACUACGUGCCAGCAGCCGCGGUAAUACGUAGGGAGCAAGCGUUGUUCGGAUUUACUGGGCGUAAAGGGCGCGUAGGCGGCGCGGUAAGUCACUUGUGAAAUCUCUGAGCUUAACUCAGAACGGCCAAGUGAUACUGCUGUGCUAGAGUGCGGAAGAGGCGACCGGAAUUCUUGGUGUAGCGGUGAAAUGCGUAGAUAUCAAGAGGAACACCUGAGGCGAAGGCGGGUUGCUGGGCCGACACUGACGCUGAUGCGCGAAAGCCAGGGGAGCAAACG
rnacentral:rRNA from 1 species